CACAUGCAAGUCGAGCGAGAAAGCUCUCUUCGGAGAGUGAGUAGAGCGGCGCACGGGUGAGUAACGCGUGGAUAAUCUGCCCUGAAGAUCGGGAUAACAGUUGGAAACGGCUGCUAAUACCGUAUAAUCUGCAUAUUUAACUUUAUGUGGGAAAGAUGGCCUCUAUUUAUAAGCUAUCACUUUUGGAUGAGUCCGCGUCUCAUUAGCUUGUUGGUGGGGUAAUGGCCUACCAAGGCAACGAUGAGUAGCUGGUCUGAGAGGAUGAUCAGCCACACUGGGACUGAAACACGGCCCAGACUCCUACGGGAGGCAGCAGUGGGGAAUAUUGCGCAAUGGGGGAAACCCUGACGCAGCGACGCCGCGUGUAGGAAGAAGGCCUUCGGGUCGUAAACUACUGUCAAGAGGGAAGAAACUGUUGGACAUUAAUACGGUCCUUCACUGACGGUACCUCUAGAGGAAGCACCGGCUAACUCCGUGCCAGCAGCCGCGGUAAUACGGAGGGUGCGAGCGUUAAUCGGAAUCACUGGGCGUAAAGCGUGCGUAGGCGGCGUAUCAAGUCAGGCGUGAAAGCCCUCGGCUCAACCGGGGAAUUGCGCUUGAAACUGGUAUGCUAGAGUCUCGGAGAGGUUGGCGGAAUUCCAGGUGUAGGAGUGAAAUCCGUAGAUAUCUGGAGGAACACCGGUGGCGAAGGCGGCCAACUGGACGAGUACUGACGCUGAGGUACGAAAGCGUGGGUAGCAAACAGGAUUAGAUACCCUGGUAGUCCACGCUGUAAACGAUGGAUAUUAGGUGUCGGGGUUUUACUUCGGUGCCGCAGUUAACGCGUUAAAUAUCCCGCCU
rnacentral:rRNA from 1 species